GUGGCGGACGGGUGAGUAACACGUGGGUAACCUGCCCUUAAGUGGGGGAUAACAUUUGGAAACAGAUGCUAAUACCGCAUAGAUCCAAGAACCGCAUGGUUCUUGGCUGAAAGAUGGCGUAAGCUAUCGCUUUUGGAUGGACCCGCGGCGUAUUAGCUAGUUGGUGAGGUAAUGGCUCACCAAGGCGAUGAUACGUAGCCGAACUGAGAGGUUGAUCGGCCACAUUGGGACUGAGACACGGCCCAAACUCCUACGGGAGGCAGCAGUAGGGAAUCUUCCACAAUGGACGCAAGUCUGAUGGAGCAACGCCGCGUGAGUGAAGAAGGCUUUCGGGUCGUAAAACUCUGUUGUUGGAGAAGAAUGGUCGGCAGAGUAACUGUUGUCGGCGUGACGGUAUCCAACCAGAAAGCCACGGCUAACUACGUGCCAGCAGCCGCGGUAAUACGUAGGU
rnacentral:rRNA from 2 species